rnacentral:rRNA from 1 species
GCCAGACUCCUACGGGAGGCAGCAGUGGGGGAUAUUGCACAAUGGGGGGAACCCUGAUGCAGCGACGCCGCGUGGGUGAAGGAGUGCUUCGGCAUGUAAAGCCCUAUCGGCAGGGAAGAAGCAAGACGGUACCUGACUAAGAAGCCCCGGCUAACUACGUGCCAGCAGCCGCGGGAAUACGUAGGGGGCAAGCGUUAUCCGGAUUUACUGGGUGUAAAGGGAGCGUAGACGGAAUUGCAAGUCUGAUGUGAAAAUCCGGGGCCCAACCCCGGAACUGCAUUGGGAACUACCGGGCUGGAGUGCCGGAGAGGUAGGCGGAAUUCCUAGUGUAGCGGUGAAAUGCGUAGAUAUUAGGAGGAACACCAGUGGCGAAGGCGGCCUACUGGACGGUGACUGACGCUGAGGCUCGAAAGCGUGGGGAGCAAACAGGAUUAGAUACCCUAGUA